GUGAGGAAUUUUGCGCAAUGGGGGUAACCCUGACGCAGCGACGCCGCGUGGAGGACGAAGUCUUUCGGGAUGUAAACUCCUGUCAGUGGGGACGAUAAUGACGGUACCCACAGAGGAAGCACCGGCUAACUCCGUGCCAGCAGCCGCGGUAAGACGGAGGGUGCAAGCGUUGUUCGGAAUUACUGGGCGUAAAGCGUAUGUAGGCGGCAAGUUAAGUUCAAUGUUAAAGCCCACGGCUCAACCGAGGAGAUGCAUUGAAUACUGGCUAGCUAGAGGGUGUUAGAGGAAGACGGAAUUCCCAGUGUAGCGGUGAAAUGCGUAGAUAUUGGGAGGAACAUCGGUAGCGAAAGCGGUCUUCUGGGACAUACCUGACGCUGAGGUACGAAAGCGUGGGGAGCAAACGGGAUUAGAAACCCUAGUAGUCC
rnacentral:rRNA from 1 species